rnacentral:rRNA from 1 species
CGGUGGCCAUAGCGAAGGGGAUCCACCUGUUCCCAUUCCGAACACAGAAGUUAAGCCCUUCAGCGCUGACAAUACUCGCUUGGAGACGAGCUGGGAAGAUAAGACGCUGCCG